UGAGUUAGUGCAAACGUUUGCAUACCGCCUCAGUCUUGUGAGUUCCUGUUUUCAGUCCUGUUUUAUCUGGAAGGUGCUUCCCAUUUUGUACAUCUCAAAUUUUGAACAUUAGGAAAGUCCAUUGCUUUACAAAUUCUAGAUUGGUUUCGAGAAACCUUAAGCAUAAAAUUCAAUAAAUGGUUGGGACAUUGGAAGAAUGACAGAAUUACAAUACUUAACAUAAAAAUUUUAGUAAGUAGCCUGAACAUUAGGUACCAAUGAUCCAAAUAAAAUUAGUAAAGGUACUUUGAGUUGGUAGGUCAAUCUGAACAUAGUUGACAUAACCUUGAUUUGAGGGAGAUUUAAUAAUAAUACUAUUACAACACUAAAGUAGGCCUUCUGGCCUAUUAGAAUAUUAUAAACAAAAAUACUUUGUUGUAUUUUUAGGAUCUUUGUCCACAAUUUUAAAGAAUCGUGUGUCAGAGUCCACAUGUGGUGUAGAAUGAUCUGAGGACAGGAUGCGAUAUAAAACACUUGUAAUUUUGUGUUUCAGCAUCUUUCUGUGAAUGUAGAAGAAAUUUCUUUUCUUUUUAAGGUUCCCAAGGACAGUUUCCUUUUAUAGUAAGCAUCCUCAAUCUCAAUCCCCAAAUUGUCUGCUGUUCCUGGUGGCUGGGUCCUCACCACAGCAGAACUGUUACAGUCCUGAUGUGGCUAUGAAUCUGUACCCAUUAUAACUUCCAACUACAAUGUGUAAUACGUUCACGGUUCUAAAACUUCUCACAGUAAACAGACUUUGUAGCUACCCAGAGCAAGGCUUAUAAUCAAUAUAACUUAGAGAAGAAAAAAGGAAAUGUGAUUGUUUAAUGUUUUUAAUGUUUAUUAACUCAAGGAUAGAUAAUUUUACUAUGAAAAACUAAUCACAUUUCAGAGAAAAUUAAUCAUUUCUUGAGCUAUGCAACCAGGUUUUAGGUUGAUUAUUUUGCAAUAAUAUUUAACUCUUUAUUUAUUAAGUGCUUUAUUGUGAUCACUAUAGUUUUGCAACUUUUCGGUCAGCAGCAUGCACUUAUGCAAACCAUUUGUAACACGUAUGUGUGCUAAAAUAUACAUGCUUAUGAACUGGGAUUUGCAACUGAUAUGAACCUUACUACCUAUGGUCAAGAUAUUUCCCAAGAGAAGCCUACUUUUAAACUUCUCGUUCAGCACUGGAAUUUUUGGAUGCCUUUCUAUUACCCAUAGAGUAAAUGCUUGCUUUUUUAUCCUCUAAAAUAGAAUAACUUCUAUUUUAGUAGAUCACGAUUAACUUAUUUAACAUCAUAGAUAAAGGGAAUAUCUUAAAAUAAGACAAAGGGGAGAAAUAUACUGUAGGCAAAAAGCUCAUUAAUUUUUUUAUUAAUAAUUAUGCCUUUUGAGUUUAUUCUGUAAAUACAUAUUUUCUCCUUCCAAACAACUCUCCCAUGUGUUCCCCCCAGCUGUUUUAAAAUUCAUGUUGUUUCUUUUUUCUUGUUUUUAAAGCUGAUCCUCUGCCAUUGAAUAACCAAUAUUUCCUUAUAUGUAUUGCUCAUAAGAAUUAUGUAUGUAUAUAUGCAUGUAUACAAAUUCUACAUUUGCUGCUGUCCCCACUUUUAGGUGCAUAAACAUUAAAGCACAGGGAUACAUUGACCUUCCUUCUCUGGCAAGCAUCCAAGUGUACAAAUACCUGAGAGGGAGUUGACCUGUUGAGGGGCAAUUAUUGCAUCAAAUAAUCCUUUUUGAAGUGGUUUGAGGAAUAAAGAAUUUAGUCUAUGUGUAGUUAACCAACUAUAGCUUAAAACAGUACACACUGUCAAGUUAAAAUAUAUAAUCUGGUCCUUUUUCUUCCUGGAUUGCCAUGUUUCACCAACUACAUCCAAUGUGUGCUCUAACACAUGCUUUCAUAAAGAAUAUUUUCCUGAUUGAUAACCAUCUCCCAAAUGCUUAAAUUUAAAUUUCUAUGCACAAUAUGUCCCAACAAGGAUUUGGUACCUCCUCUCUCCCACAUGUUCUGGAUUUUAAUCUCCAUAUCUCAGUAAGAGCCUCUCAACCACACCAAUAAGACUUCUUGGUAUCUCUUCAGCAUAUGAAAAGCUAGGGAGGGAUGGGAAUAACUCAGACCUUCUACUUAGGCCCUUGUGCAAUGUUGUUCUUGCAAUUUUGAGGUUUGGUUUCUGAUUGGUAUACGAUAGAAACAUAUAAAUAAUGCUAUCAUUUCCACUGCUUGUCUUUUCUCCCCUAGCAAACUGGCAAUUAUUUAGUUUCACAUAGCUUAGACACUUCAACAUAAUUCCUGGAGGCAAGAGGCUCAGGGGAAGUAAAAAGAAAUAGAUUCCUUUCUCUUUCUUCAAAGAGCUCAGCUGGUGACUGUGUGGACAACUAGUUCUUUAUCAUGAAGCUGUUAUCAGCAGAACCACCCAGCAAGGAAACAAUGUAGAAUCCUAUCAACAUCCCAGGAUGUGCUAGGUCUUUAUGAUGUCAAGAACUACAAAUUCCACUGUUAUUGAAGGCUCCCAUCCUAUGGCUUGGCAUAUUGGUUGUGUUCUUCAAUAGUGAAAUUCCCUCUGGCUUUCAUCUUAGUGACCCUUAAAAGCUAACAUGAUUACCAUUGGUUUAUAAAGGAGUGUUCACUGUCUCAAGUAUGCUCAGAGAUGGUUGGAUAUCAAUACUGAUCAUCAUAAGUGAGAGCUCAAUUCAUAAUGACUCAUUUGAAGAAAAAGUAAGUUUCGUCAUAGUACACACACACACACACACACACACACACACACACACACAUACACACACACUAGUGGUAAACAUACUGUGGUCACUUUUGCAUGAAUGUAAAACCUUGAUUUCUUGGAAACUUUUUCACUCAGCAUGAACCUCUGUUCUUGAACAUGCCACUUUAAUUUCUAAGAUAGCUAGGUGCCAUUUGCGUUGAAUCUCAGCUCCGAGGAAGAUAAAUGUUAAUGAAAAUCUUGCAAGAAUAUGUGUUUUAUACCUUUCCCGUUCGAAGGUCUUCCCUAAAAUUUCAUCUGGAAAAUACAGCUGUGAUUGAGUAAUGAAAGAAUGACCCACACCAAAGAUUAGGGGGAAUUCAAUUCAAGAAUUGAAUUGAGUAGGCUAAUAAUUCGAAAGCACACUGCAUGUAAACUGCUAGAAUUUGUAGGCAAAGGCUCAAAACAGUGCACUUAUUGUCUGCCAUAUCUCCAGUAGAAUUGAGACAACCUAUAGAUGACUGCCCAGAAAUUUCCAAGUUGAAGUAACCAGAAUAUUAAACAUCGGCAGCAGUUCCCUUCUGUCUAGUUUUCAUUAUGGUAUUCUCUCUAGUUAGUUCAAUAGAGUUUCUGAUUCUUAAUUGAGACAUAUGAAGUAACUCAAAACUUAAUUCUCUUGUUACAGCUUCAUUGCUGUUGUUUUUUGUUGUACUGGGAAUUAGAACAAGUGCCUCUCACUGGUGAAGCACACACAAUGUUCACAGCCACACCUAAUCCCUCACUUAGUAUUUGUUCAUUCUGUCUAAUAGAACUAAAACUUCCUGAAGAAGGUAUCUGAGUACCUAUUCAACAGCAUAAUCUGUCUUUCUAACUUAACAGAUUAUAUAUAUAUAUAUUUAAUUCACUUUUUAUUACUUCUUAUCUUUGAUUUUCUUGCUAUGGUUUUACUCAUAAUUACUAUUCGCUGCAGCAGAAUUCCCUUUUAUGUGCUGUACUUAUUGAGUGAUUUGUGGACAAUACCUUUAAUGAUCCUAUCAGAAUUUAGUGACUUUAGUGUGGUAAAUUUUCUACAAUCAUUUUUUACAUUACUUUGGACUAACAUUAGAGAUUAGAGAUAGUGUUCCUGAAACAUUUGUAUGCCAACUGAUAUAUAAAACAAGAAGAAGGAGAUUGUGAUAAAAUGCCAUCUUGAUGGGAAAUUUUGUUAAGAAUUAUCUUUGGUCUCCAUUCUGGAGUGCUUUCCAAGUUGAGCUGUAGAAUCAGCACCGUAGUUCUAACAUAGAAAAUAGUAUGAUUUGGUAUAGUACCCUUGCCAAUUACAGUUCAGGUAAAUGAAGAUUAAACAAACUUGAUUGAAUUGAAACGACUCGAUACAGUUAAUUUCAGCUGAACGUAUUUAGCAUAAGCAGACCUGCAUUUGAUUUAUACAAAAGGCUUCUUUUCUCGAAGAAUUCCAUCUGAGUCACCAUGAGACUUGUCUGUAACAUUGUAAAGCAGCUUCCAUUCCAUCUCUAUCAUGAGAGCUUUAAUGGAGUUCUUCACGGCACAGACAAGUUCUAAACACUUGAAUUUUGAUUGCUGUAUGCUUAUGUUUUGACAUUGCAAACUUGAGCUUGUACCCAGUCUACAGAUGGGUAUGUCUACAUCUCUUUGACGCUGUGGCUGUUCACUGAGUCUUAUUACAGACUUGUUUGUGUCUUAGUGUGCCUAUCUAUAAGUUGUAUUCUUUAUACUUAAUUAAACAAUCCUCAACCAACUUGUUAGAUGAUUUUUAAGACUUAUGUGAGGCUAUGUGAAUUUUAGACAGUUCCUCCAUUUUUUCUGUUAAACAAUGCAGUGUACAUUUUGAAUAGCCAAGCAACAUGCUUCAUCUACAGAUGGAGAUCAGAAUGUAAAUGAGAAUUUUACCAUAGUGUAUAAAACUUAUACUUAGUUCAGAAUGUAAUGGUAUUGUUCUUAGUCUAUUGCUAUAAAUAUUCUGCCCAUCCUCCACAUCACUCUUUACACCCCAGUUAAAUCGUUACCUAAGUGACUUCUGCAUGGUGUGAGUUUGGCAUGGUAAAAGCCAAUGUUGGGUAAAUAGAAUUCAGCCCCAAAGAAAAGGGUUCUCUCCAGCUAUCACUCCAGAAAUACGUCACUCAUAAAUUGUGCCUGUAUAACCUCCAUUUAUAAAAAUUUUGUCUUAAGCAAGGUGAGACUAGCACUCUGCUCUAUUGUAGCAUCGAUUUGCAACAGCUUAAGUUUUGUUUUGAUUUGGAUUUGUUUGUUGUGGUAUUGUCUUUUCUAAUCUACAAACUGCUGCGUAAUUUUCUCAUUCAACUGUACUCUAACAGAAAUUGCAAUGCACUAUUGAAAACCUCCCUACAAUCAGAUUUUCCUUUCUAUAAUCUGCUGGUAUAUGUUUCUUUAGCCUUCAAUAUCUGGAGAAUUAGAUGGCAUCAGCUUAAUUAGAUUCAAUACUAAAUUUCUGGCAAGAAUUCUCAAUAGCUGGUAUUGUGUGCUCCCUUCCUAAGACAUGUCAUUUCUAGGUACCUCAUUUUGUCAUGUUAAUUGGCACAGGUAAUCAUUAGACACUUAUAAAAAUUCAUCAGGCACUUUUAAAGUAAGAUCAUCUUCCAUGAUCUAUAUCUGCCGUUUAUCUCUUUUUGCAUGAAGAAAUGGUGAUCCAUACCCUUCCCAGGCUUUCAGUUUAAUUUUUAUUUGAUUAUCUGAGAUAUCACUAUUUAAUUAUUUUGUGUCUGCUUGAAUUGUUUCUGAGCUGGUGAAGUUGCUUCAGAUUUUGCUUUCUGCCUAUUAUGCUUUCUUUUCUUUGUUGCAAAAGCACAGCAAUGACGGGAGUGACGAUACAGGAAGUAUUUUCUCUUCCGCUUGGUUCUUUAAAUUUCACUAAGUAAAGUUAUUAUUAUUUUCAUCUUUUCUUGUAUUUAUUUAGAAAUCUUUGACAUGUCAGUAUGAAGUCUUGAGUAAGUGCUCAGCUUGCUGUUUUAUUUGGUAUUAGGAAGAAUUACAUUGUACUCUGACAAAGUAAAUAAAAAAAAAAUGACGACCCAACUUUGAUUUUCAGUGAUGACUGAGUUUGAAGAACCAUGUAAAUGCUCUAUUUCCUUGAGACUCAAACUGUAAUCCUAGUGGCAAUUUUAUAAUCAUAAAAUAAUUAUCAGUAUUAGCUAUCACAUGGUAGUUUGUUAUGAGAAACUAACAUCUGUGGAUUUUUUUUUCUCUUCCCAAUCCAAAUAGUAAAGAACAUUCUAUGUCAUGUCAUCUAAAGUUCCAUUUCUCUGCAAAUUCCAUGAUGCCUUAGGGGUUAAAAGCAAUGAAUACUCUUGAAGAGGACCUGGGUUCAAUUCUCAGCACUUUCAGGUCAGUGCACAAUCAUCUGUAACUCCAGCCUCAGGGUAUCCAACACCUCCUCAGACAUCAGACAUGUAUGUGGUGCAGAUCAAUCACUCAGUAUAAGAUUAUUAACAUUAAGACUACUGCAUCUAUAAAGUAGCAUAAUGUCAUUUCCCAUCCCUCCAUCCUUUCCUUCUUUUCUUCCUUUUUGCUUCAUUUCAAGAAAUGAUUUUUGACUCAGCAUUUGUUUCCUCUUGUAAUAUGUGUGGAAAAUAGUUUAGAAAAAGAGCAAUGUGUGAGAACCAUAUGCAGACAUGCUCUGUAAAAUUACCGUCAUCAUUUCCCUAAAGCAAAGACUUGGGAUGUUAACCUCUGCUGCCUGUGGCUACUAGUAUUAGAACCUGUAACAUCCUACGAUAAUACUUUGUCAUCCUUCAGGAAUUGUUUUUUAGUCCAUACCACAGCUGAGGAAUCCAUAAGAAUGAACCCAAUCUGAAAGACAUCAUCAUCCUUUUCUUCCAGACUGGCUGGCUUCUAGAACGAAAAGAGAGCCCCCUUUCCCAAAUGCUACUCACCCUACUGGCUCAGUUGCUGGAGUGACUUACUAUUAUUAUCUCACUUAUCUCAUGGAAUGUUGCUCAUAAAUUUUAUUGAUUCAGGUACCACAUGUGAGGAUGCACUCAUUUUUUUUUACACUCCCAAUCAUUAACACAUCAACUUAAGUAAAUUGUUUACAAGUGCAGGGAAUAUAAAAUGGGAUCUCUAAUGCAUAAAAUGACGGUGUCUUUAAGCAUUACAUUUAUGUGUGUGCUUCAAGCUCUCUUGAUGUUUCAGCUGCUCUUUCCUUUUCUAUUUUCCCAUUUCUUUUCAUCACUGUGACCUUAGGUAUCUUCUAGAACUGUCCUUACGUCAUACAUAGUAUCAUGGUAUAAGCAACUACCAUAGAACAUCAUCUCAGGCUGGAGAGAUGGCUCAGCGGUUAAGAGCACUGACUGCUCUUCCAGAGGUCCUGAGUUCA
rnacentral:sRNA from 1 species